ensembl:lncRNA
UCCAGGUUUACACUGCUACUGCUGUCCAGGUUUACACUGCUACUACUGCUGUCCAGGUUUACACUGCUACUACUGUCCAGGUUUACACAACUCCUGCUGUCCAGGUUUACACUACUACUGCUGUCCAGGUUUACACUGCUACUGCUGUCCAGGUUUACACAACUACUGCUGUCCAGGUUUACACUGCUACUACUGCUGUCCAGGUUUACACUGCUACUGCUGUCCAGGUUUACACAACUCCUGCUGUCCAGGUUUACAC